GUGUGUAGUGGGAAAAGGAGUAAUACACACAUUGAGGUGAUCAGUGAGGUGUGUAGUGGGAAAAGGGGUAAUACACACAUUGAGGUGAUCAGUGAGGUGUGUAGUGGGAAAAGGGGUAAUACACACAUUGAGGUGAUCAGUGAGGUGUGUAGUGGGAUAGAGAGAGGAGCUGUGACAUGGUAAAUACCUUCUGGAAAACUGAGAGACUCUAAAGGUUCCGUUCUGCAAGGCUCAGGACAGGUAGUGAUGGAGGGGGAACAGUCAGACCAGGGCUUGAACCGGAGACCCUGGGUUACAGGGCAGGCAUUCUGCCAUAAAGGUCCAGACCUCUUGGCAGAGGGCGUAGUGUGCUCACAUACAAGGAGACAACCCAACAUAGACCAGGGGCUGAUACAGUGGAUUGAUUCAUCAGUGUCAAACCAAACGUGUGGCUUAGUUAGAAAUGGACUCUUUGGUUCAUUUUCCAAAUACAGGUGUCCUAUGUAUGCACACACACACACAUUCAUCAACAUACACACACAGGCACACACACACACAUUCAUCAACAUACACACACACAGGCACACACACACACAUUCAUCAACAUACACACACACAGGCACACACACACACAUUCAUCAACAUACACACACACAGGCACACGCACACAUUCAUCAACAUACACACACACACACAGGCACACACACACACA
rnacentral:lncRNA from 1 species